ACACAAUACCUGCUUUAUUUCUAAGAUGAACUAACUAAAACAGCCUGUUGAACCCUAUGCAGUAUGCAAGGAUAAGCAUUUCCAGAACAGCACCGUGUGUUCAUCUGCAAACUUCACAUUUUGGCAGAAUCCAUACUAAAACCUCCAAGUGCUGACUUAAAAUAAAUUAAAUUACACUGAACCUCCCAGAGUCCACCUUGAAACAAAGUCAUGUUUACAAGCUUCUGGACGGAGGCAGCGAGUGGUGUUGAGGAUGAAUUUCACCAGAUCACGGUGCAGAUUGAAGUUACAUGUUCUGUCAUGGAGGAAAACCUUUCUAUGUCUGCCUGAGGCCACACAGAUCAGCCUGAGAUUCAUGUUGAAGUUUAAUUCAUGCUCUGAAUUGAUAAACGUCCUCUCCGCUGCACACAUCUGACAAAAGCCCAUUCCUUCAUGGCAUCAUCCAUCACGAAAUCACAGGGAUCAAGUCGUUGAAGUCCAAAAGCACCAUUGACGUACUCUGCUCGGGGUCAGACAGACUCGUCGUCUCAAUCUCACUCUAUUAACGCUUCAAGAUCGUGAUUACUAUUGACUUACAGGUCUUUAUGAGAGCGAUUUGGCCUUCUUCAGUGUCACAGUACUCUGAAAACCAGAGCUCGUUCUCAUGUGCUGACAGGCCUUUCUCAGCCGAUGGCAAUUAACUAAAGUAGGAUCAGCAGCUGUUUGGCCGGUGACAGAUAUAUUGGAGCGGCUUUGCUGUGUACAGAGAGUCUGUUGGAGAAGGGAUCUGUGCGGAAAGCUGUAUGUUCUCUGACUGGCUCAUGCAGGAUGUUCUGGGAAAGAGAUGGAUGGCAUUUAAAUCCACCUUUACUGGAAAACAGUCCAAGAUCUGCUUCCCAGAGUCUCCAGGAUGAAUGUUCCUCGAGUGUUUAACAGUGUUUCUCUCAUCUGUCUGCGAGCAGAUGUCCUGCUUCUAGAAUCUAAUGCACCAGUUUUGCCAGAGGUUAAAGAGGUCUGGUAAACGUGUUUCACAAAUGCAGUUCGUUGUUUUUAAUCAGUUAUGUAUGUUUUAUCACACAACUUCAGUAAAAAUCACAGAGCAAAUAACGUAAUCCUAUCUGGAUAAUCUAGUCUGUGAUUAUGUACUGUAAGUGUGUAUUUAUUUAAUCAUUUAUUUAUCUAUUUAUUUAUUUUAGUCAUUUAUUUAUUUAUUCACUUUAUUUUAGAUUAAAAUGCAGCUGUUUUUGAAAAGUAGAUUUUUGUAGAUUUUUCAGAUUCAUUUAUUUAAUCAGUUUAUUUUAGUUGUUUAUUUAAUUAGUAAGUCAAGUAUUUAUUAAUCUAAUUUAUUUAUUUAGUCAGGCAUUAAUUAAUUGAUUGAUUGAUUAAGUAAUUAAUAUAGUCACAUAUUUAUUUAGUUAGCCAUUUGUCUAUUAAUCUAUGCAUUGAGUAACUCGUUCAUUAAUUUAUUUAUUUAGUAAUGUAUUUAUCUAGUAAUUUAAUCAGUCAUUCAUUUUAUUUUUGUAUUUAGUCAUGUAUUUAUUCAGUCAUUUGUUAAUUAAUCUAUUUAUUCGCUUGUAAUUUGUAAUUUAAAUUCAUUCAUUCAUUCAUUCAUUUAUUCAGUUUGCUAGGUAAAAUAUGUAUUUCAGGUGCUGAAUAAAAUAAAAUGAAAUUAAAAUGAAGAUCAUAUGCUGCUGUUAGCCCUUCUGAUCAUCUAUAAAUACUCCAUAUUUAUUCCUUUCCUAAAAUAUUGUAAUUAUAUCAUCCACCUAAAGUGCAUUAAUAAUUAUAAAUCGAAGUUAUAAUUGUUUUUUUUUGUUAUUAUGUUUCUUUGGUGUUUUCUUCUGUUAGACAGACAUUUGCGUUCUCUCUCUGUCUCUUCUGUGAUCUGAUCUGAUGCUUCAAACCCACUAAUUGAGAACAUCAAGGAAGUAUCAUCUUUCAAGAACAAGACGAGCAUAAAAUAAAUCACAC
ensembl:lncRNA